rnacentral:rRNA from 1 species
UGGCGGACGGGUGAGUAACGCGUGGGGGAACCUGCCCUGUACAGGGGGAUAACACUUAGAAAUAGGUGCUAAUACCGCAUAAGCGCACAGUGUCGCAUGAUACAGUGUGAAAAACUCCGGUGGUACAGGAUGGACCCGCGUCUGAUUAGCUGGUUGGCGGGGUAACGGCCCACCAAGGCGACGAUCAGUGGCCGGCCUGAGAGGGUGAACGGCCACAUUGGGACUGAGACACGGCCCAAACUCCUACGGAAGGCAGCAG